AUUGAACGCUGGCGGCAGGCCUAACACAUGCAAGUCGAACGAGUGGCGGACGGGUGAGUAAUGUCUGGGAACCUGCCUGAUGGAGGGGGAUAACUACGGGAAACGGUAGCUAAUACCGCAUACCAUCAGAUGUGCCCAGAUGGGAUUAGCUAGUUGGUGGGGUAACGGCUCACCAAGGCGACGAUCCCUACCUGGUCUGAGAGGAUGACCAGCAACACUGGAACUGAGACACGGCCCAGACUCCUACGGGAGGCAGCAGUGGGGAAUGUUGCACAAUGGGCGAAAGCCUGAUCCAGCCAUGCCGCGUGUAUGAAGAAGGCCUUCGGGUUGUAAAGUACUUUCAGCGGAGAGGCGUUACCUGCAGAAGAAGCACCGGCUAACUCCGUGCCAGCAGCCGCGGUAAUUC
rnacentral:rRNA from 1 species